rnacentral:rRNA from 1 species
UACGUAGGUGGCAAGCGUUGUCCGGAUUUACUGGGCGUAAAGAGCGCGCAGGCGGUCGUUCAAGUCGCGUGUGAAAGCUCCCGGCUCAACUGGGGAGGGUCACGCGAUACUGAUCGACUCGAAGGCAGGAGAGGGUAGUGGAAUUCCCGGUGUAGUGGUGAAAUGCGUAGAUAUCGGGAGGAACACCAGUGGCGAAGGCGACUACCUGGCCUGUUCUUGACGCUGAGGCGCGAAAGCUAGGGGAGCAAACGGG